rnacentral:tRNA from 1 species
GGGGAUUUAGCUCAGUGGUAGAGCACUUGCCUAGCAAGCACAAGGCCCUGGGUUCGGUCCUCAGCUCCCG